UAAACAUUCAGGAUCAAGUCUUUGAAGAAAUAUAAACUUUCAUUUUUCUUGGACAAAUACCUAGAAGUGGAAUGGCUGGCUCACAUUGUAGAUGUGUCAAGAUGCGGCCAAACUGCCUUCCAAGGUUCAUCCUGCUGCUCUCAGCUUUGGGAACAUUGUCUUUCUGACCUGAGCCCUUGAUGUCAAGGAGAUUGGGUGGACACAAGAGUGGAGAAGCUAAGUGUGAGCAGUGGUAAUGGUCAUGCCCCAAGCACUUCCUCUUCAAGCAGUGUCUUUUCAGAUUGAGAUGCAUCAAGAAGUUUCUUAGGUUCAUUUCUGUCACUGCCUUCUUCACCUUCAUUGGCCAUGUGCCCAAAUGGCAUACGCUGAGCCUUCUCCACCUGCAGAAUCUCAGGCUUGUUCUUCUCACCAGCUGUCUCAAGUUUUCCACUCCUCCAUGCUUGCUGACCUCGGACUGCAUUGAAUCUCUGAUCUAGCAGUUCCCAGGAUUUCACCUAUUUUUUUCCUGUAUGAUAUUAUAGCCCAUAUAAGUCUCCAGAGUAUAUGUGUGGAAUUCCCAAUAAACCAGCAAUAAAUCUUCCCUUUCCUCUCUGACUCAUAAAAGCCUAUUGGAAUGCAAAAAACUGGGAGUGACUUUUUUUAUAGGAAUAAUCUGCAAUCUGCUCUAAUUUAUGUUUUAAAACUUUAUUCUCAACUUCUUGUUCCUGCCCAAGAUGGAAUAGUGUGGAUGGAGUACAUUUCCCACUAAGAACAGUUAAAAGCCCUGGACAUUGUAUAUGAAACAAACAAGAGAAAACUGUGAAAGGCAGAGAGAAGAAGACAACUGACUAAGGACCUUGGGAUCUGAGGAAUGACAGGACAAUGAGUUCUCCGUGUUGUUUUUUUGUUUGUGUGUUUGGUUUGUUUGUUUGUCUUGCCUCAUAUAUCUUAGGCUAGAGAAGCUGGCAAACUAGAAACACCACAGGAACAAAUUUUUUAAAAACCCCAAGAAAUGCCUGCUCUCACUAGCUAAAGGACUGGGAAAGGGGCAACGUAGACAACUUUUAGACCAGUAACUACCCUAUUCUAGCCAAACCCUGCAGAAAAAAAAUGUGACCUCACCCCUGUCCCAGUCAGCAAAGGCUGAAAAGAGGGACUCCCACCUUCACCUGUUUGUUAGAAGGCAUCACUCAUGACCCCUCUAACCCCUGCUGGGGUGAUGUCAGAGAAGACCAAGUGGGGAGCCAGCACUUUCAUCCUGGCCUAGUUGACAGGUGACUAGCAAAAACAAAACAAACAAAACAACCCAACCAUGUGGAAGUGUAUUAUGCCAGGUUAAAAAAAAAAAAAAAAAGCCAGUCUCAAAAGGUCAUAUACUGUAUGCUUCCAUUAUAUAACAUCCUUGAAUAACAAAACUAUAGAGAUGGAAAACAGAUAGUGGUUGCCAGGGGUUAGAGAUAGUGGGGAUGGGGGAGGGGUAGGUGUGACUAUGAAGGAAGUUCAUGAGGGAGAUCUUUGUGGUAAUGGAAUAGUUCUGUAUCUUGAUGCUGGUGAUAGUUAUGGGAAACUGCACAUGUGAUAAAGUGGCACAGAACUAUACACACAUAUUGUACCAAUACCAAUUUCCUGGUUUUGAUAUUGUACUAUAGUUACAAGUUUAUAGCUCUUUUAUAAGUUACAGUUAUAAGAUGUAACCAUUGGGGGGAAAUGGGUGAAGGGUACAAAGGACUUUUCUGUACAGUUUUUACAACU